rnacentral:lncRNA from 1 species
UAUUUUUUUAAUAAGAGAUCUCUUAAAUCAUUAGGGUAAGGGAUGAGCUACGAGAUAAGAAAAACACACUUUUAUACACUACAUGACAAAAUACAUUAAAUGAGAAUAUAUGUUUUACUUGUUUUUUAGUUUGUUGAUUACUUUAAUAACUAGAUCGCUUAUUAAAUAACAACUCUAUAUAUCUAUGUAGUUAUUCUCUAAUGAGAACAUUCUCGUUGUGUUUUUUCUUUUAGUGUAUCUGUUAAUAACAUUCAUAUUUUGUUAAAUAUAAAGAUGUUUUGAUAAGGAGAAAAAAAAUUCUCUCUCUCUCUUUCUCUCUCUGUCUCUCUCUCUCUCUAUAUGUAAAUGUGCAUACGUAUGUAUGUAUGUAUUGUUGGGAUUAUAUGCUCUUUUGAAGCAUAUUAAUUUAUUUUCUGAUUAAUAAAAUAUUUGAGAUAUUUUCAAUUGCAUAAAUAUAUAUUGAAUAAGGCCCGUUUAAUCAUAUUAUUUGUAUUUAUGUGAUCAUCAUAUGCAUUCACAGAAGACAUAAAUACAAGUUAUCUUAUAAUUAAAUAAAUAUUAGUUCGCAGUUGAUAAAUAGUGUUUGGCACUCUAUUUAUGUUUACACUACAGUAAAUUCAUUGAAUGAUUUGCCUUAAUCAUAUAUGAAUUUACUGAUGUAGUUUGACUACAUUGAACUGGAUCACAUAUGAGAUUUAAUUAACCUUGAAAUGACUGUCAGACUUAUUAAAUCUCAUAGGUAUUGAUUUUACUGUAAUCUUAAUCUUAAGUUAGUUAUGAUUUCAUGAUUGUAAUUGUUAUUCCAUUUGAGUUACCAAUGGGCACGACACACACUUGUGGUCAAGAUUACCCGGUAUUUUGGUGGGAGCAAUUAUGAGUAUUGAAGUUAAAAAUUAACAAUAUAGAAUUUCUACAACACAUCUCUUGAUGGGUUUUCGGCACUUGAUCAUAGAAUUCUUUGGCCAGAGUGUGUCAACAUAUUUAAUAUGUUGAAAAUGAUCAUUAGAGAAAACCAGUAAGUAUUAAGGAAUAAGAUGUAAUUAAAUCGAUUGGACAGUUGAGAUAUCAAUUUAAGAUUAUGCAGUAAAGAAAUCAAUGUGGCAUGGGUUGAAUUAUUAUUCGAGUAUACUAUCUUAGAUAACAUACAAUUAUGGAGGUCAAUUCCAAUCUUUUAGUGGAGUAGAUUUGGAAUUAAAUAAUUGGACUAAUUUAAUUACAUGCCUAAUUAUUGUAGCUACUAUUAUAUGUCCCCAAAUGAUCUAGGGGUUAGCUCAUUUAAUUGACUACACCAUUACUGGAUUAAUAAAUAAGAUAACUAGUUAUUUAGGUUAAAAGACUAAAUAUAUUAUUUAGUGAGAGGCUCCAUUAAUAUACUUGAGUGUAAGGGACCUUGUGUUAUUUUACAAGGUGGGCUCCUAUAACACAAGAACAAGUAAUGUGACUUUUGUUUUAAUUAUUUUUUAAUUUAAAUCAAAUGGGAUUUAAUAGAAUUAAUAAAUAAAUAAAUAAAUAUGGAGCCUAGGGUUUCCACUAAAAGGGAGAUAUAAAAAGGCUUAUUUUCUCUAAAGAAAAAUAUAGCAGCCACUUUAUAUAGAUAAGAGAAAAAGAAUUUUUCUUUCUAAUUUUGAGAGAAAAUUUUUUCUCUUACUAGUUGCUUUUAGUGGUGAUAAAGGCGCCCACAUGUCAAGUGCAGAUCAAAUCUGAGUCAUAACCUAAAAGAUUAUUUGGUGACAGAUCGUGAUCUGAGAGCCUAAAUCACUUUAGCGAAAAAAGCAAAGAUUGUUCAUCUUCUCAGAUUUUCAAGGUACGAUUUCUAGAUUAUGAAUUCUUAUAUAUUAUAUGAGAUUGAUUCUAAAAGUUAAAAAAAAAACUGAUUUCUCUCAUACAAUUGGUAUCAGAGCCAUCUCAUAUUAAUAUGGGAAAUUAUCAUUUGUAUACCCUUAGUUUACUCCAUUAUCAAAACUACUACAACACUUUGAGGGUGUAUCAAUCGUCCACCCUAAGUUGACAAAAUGUAUCAGUUGACCACCAAACCGGUAGUUGCCGUUUAAGUAUGAUGACGUCAGAAGGGUAAUUUGGUCUUUUCAUAUGAUACAAGUGAUAAUUUAAGGGUAUACAAGUGAUAAAAAGAGAAUUUAAGGGUAUACAAGUGAUAAUUUUCAAGGGUAAAAUCGUCAAUUCACUGUAAUUCCGUUAACUUUCAAACGUCAACUAACGGUUUGGUGGUCGGCGGAUACAUUUUGUCAACUAAGGGUGGACGAUUGAUACACCCUCAAAGUGUUGUAGUAUUUUUGAUAACAGAGCAAAUAUAAGGUAUAUGAAUGAUAAUUUCCUUAUUAAUAUAUCAUAAUUUCGUAUGAAAUUAAUCUUGAUAUUUAUGUAUUAGAGUGGCACAAUUUAUUUAGAUAUAUAUUAUUUGUUUAAUAUAUGAAUAAAGUAUGCUUAUGGUUUGUUUUAAUUCAUUGUUAGAUUUUUAAUGUAUUUUUUGUUUGGAUAUGUAACAAGAGGAGUGGUUUUGUAUCACCAUGUUUGCUUAUUGAUUUAUUUUACUGUUAUAGAAAUUUGUAAGCCAAAAAUUGGCCUAGUAAAUUUCUAAUUCAUUGGAAACUUGCGGAAACUUGUGUGAGACUACUGGAAACAUGCGUUGCAACUGCGAGAAACUUGCUGGAAACUGCUGCAAGCAACGCUGCACACGCUGCAGUAGCGCGCGCGGCCAUCGCGUGCAGCAACCAGCGCUGCCAGCAGCUGCAGUGGCAUGCAACGUGGCCAACGACGCAAGCGGAGGCUGGUCGCGUGCGCAAGAUGGCUGCUGGCGGAAGGCGGCGGCUUCCCGGUGACGCGGUGACGGUGACUCAGCGUCGGCGAUGGUGGCUGUCCGGUGUGGAAACCAUGAACAGCGGCUAGUUUUUGUGGAGAUGGCGACCUGGGGAAGAAGGAAAAGAAAAAUAUGGAUUUUAGGGUUUCAUGAUUUUUAUCUCGGUCCCUAUGUUUCCGUAAUUUUUCUUUUGGGUAGAAAAAUUUUAAUUAUUUGCAUUUAAGUCCAAAAACAGUUUUGGGCUUAAUAAAUCAUAAUUUUACGCCUAAUUGAAGUUGAGCGUAAUGGAUUAAAAUGUAUAGAUAAAAUUGAACACUUUAAAUUUAUUUUGGUCCAAAAGUUUUAUUUUAAAAAAAAUUUAUUUAUUUUCUUUUAAAAUUAAAAUUGGACCAAUAAUAAAUUUGAAAGCCCAAUUUUCCCUAGUCCAUUAACAAAGACAAACCUAUGGAAGAUGGACAUUGACAAGAAGCCCAAUGAAGAUUAGGCUUAGGGUUAAUGCAUUAUUUCAUUUUAGGAAAACCAUGAAUUAAGAUUAUUUAAUUAUUUUUCUAUAUUCUAUGUUUUGGAUGAUAACAUGCCAUGAUAAAAUGUCAUAUAGAAUAAGUAGUGCCACUCUAUGCAUAAUGAUAUAUGUCAUUCAUUAAUUAUAAAUUUCAUUAUAUUGUUUAAAAAUUGCAUAUGCAUUAUAAUAUUGGAUAUCAUCUAGAUAAUAUUAUAGGAAGUAUGCAAUUAAUAAUAUAUAAUUAAUGUAUGUUUUAAAAAGGAAAAACCAAUUUUAAAAUAUUGAGUGGGAGAGGAAAAAUUCAAGAUAAUUUUUCCACGAGCUCCAUUGUUAGUUCAAUAAUAAAAUUAUAUUUAUACAUCGACUUCAUGAUACGGUGAUGCUCCAUUCGGAGGGUAUAUAUAUUAGAUAUUUUAUUUAAUGAAGUCCUUCAAAGAUAAAAUUGAAACAUUUUUCAAUCGAUUGUUCACCCCCAACGGUGACUAUUGAUAUGAAAAAUACGUAGAUUGAAACAAUAGUUAUACACUCAACUAAAAUUUGUUAUUAACCUUCCCAACGAAGCUCUGUUAACAAAUUUAAGCCCAAAAGGAUAACGAUAAUUAUUUAUCAUGUCCCUACAUGAAAGUAAAUAAUCCAAUGGAUAAUUGGGUCUAGUAAGUGUAGACAUGACUUCCCCAACGAAUAGCUUGUCAAAACGGUACUAGAUUAUCGUUACAAUAAAUUAAAAUGCAUUUAUGAUUUUUUGCAUUUUUGUUAUUUAUUGUAAUAUUGUUUCAAAGUGUUUAUGCAUGUCUAUUUUGUUUUUUCAGAAAAUGUCUUCCAUCAACAAAUUAUCCUUGUUAAAAAUGAACUCACUGGCGAAAAUUACUUAGAUUAGAAAUGCAAUCUAUUUAAUAUUCUCAUUGUUAAGGGCUGCAAAUAUGUGUUGAUCUAGCCUUGCCACCUAGAACCAUCAUUGUACGAUUAUAGAAAUCAGAGGGAGCCUUAUGAGAAAUGGUGCGAAGCUAACAAAAUGGCUAAGCACUAUAUAUUGGCUUCGAUUUCUAUGGAACUGCAUAAGAAACAUCGGAGCAUGGAAACAACCACUGAAAUAAUGGCUAGUCUUCAUAAGAUGUUUGGGCAAAAUACUCAUUUUGCCAGAGAAGCAACGUUAAAACGUAUUACGGAUACUAAGAUGGAAGAGGGCACAAGAGUUCGUGAUCAUGUCCUUAAAAUGAUGGACUAUUUGAAUGAAAUAGAGAUUCACGGUGUUCAAAUCGAUGAUAAAACAAAAAUUAACAUGGUGAUUGAAUCUUUACCUGAUACAUUCAAAGAGUUUAAGGUCAAUUAUAUCUUAAACAAUAAAGAUAUGACCUUAAUUGAAUUAAUGCACGAACUAUAUGCUAUAGAAGAAUUUUAUCAUACAGAAAACUUCCUGAAAAAUUAUUCUCUUCAAGGCUUAAGUCGAAAGACAGGAAUAAGCAAGAAAGAGUUGGGAUCGGCAAAUUGUCCACUAAAAGAAGUGGCAAGCCAAAAGACAAAUGUUACAAAUGUGGACAGAAGAGUCACUGGAAGAAAGAUUGUCCUAAGAUUAUUAAAAUCAGGUAUAGGAAAUCUUUAAGCUUCCUAAUUAGUUCAGAUUUCUAUUGAUUCAUGCAAUAGUAAAUUAUAAGAUAACUAAUCUUAUUUGUAAUUCAUUUAUUUAGUUUUCAGGAAACCAAGAGAUGAAGUGAAGAAAGCUUCAAACAACAGUUGAGGACAUGCUAGUUUAUAUCAAUUGAAAGGCUAGAUCAAUUUUACAAGAUUUUAGUUUUGAUAUUUAUCUUUAUUUUUUCAAAUAUUAGAGGAAUUUAAUUUCGGUGGCUUAUUUUAAUAAACAGGAGUACACUGUUAUUUUUGGAUCCUCUGUUUAUUACUUAUUUUGGUUAUUUAUAAAGACAAUUUAUAUCAUAUAAGUCCAUUGAUAUAUUCAAAGCAAGAUAUAAUGAUAAAGAGUAUAUGCAUUUAUCUAUAAAAAAGAAAUGUUUCUUCUAACCAAUAUCACCUCUGAUAUUUAUGCUUAAGUCAUAUAAACUAUAAUAAGAUUUUAAGAAAAUGAUUAAUGAUAGGCUUAUUGGCCUAUUAAGAUUGAUCAUUGUAACUCUAUAACUCUUAUUUAGAAAAGUAAUAUGACGAGAAUGCUUUUUUUAAACUAAAAGCAUAACAUUGUAUUGGAUGAUUUAGCGCAUACAAAUGUAUACGGACUAAUUAGUUUACAUGUUAAAAGAGGUUAUGAGUAUUCUAUCAAUCUUGUUGAUGAAUAUUCAUUUCAUUUAUGUUUGUCUAAAUGCAUCAUGAUUCCAUCGCUUUUGAAAUUCAAAAGGGUACAUGGAUAAGACAGAGAAGCAAUUAGAUAGGAACAUAAAAGAAUUUCGAUAUGAUCGAAACAAAGAAUAUGUCUCUGGAGAAUUCAAGCUCUAUUUGGUUGUCAAAUGGGAUAAACUCCCAAAUAUAAUGAGCAUUAUGAUACAAUAGUGUAAUUAAAUGGAGAAACAAGAUUCUUUUGGAUAAGACAAGAUAUAUACUAAAUGGUUUAUCAUUUACCUUUUCUAUUCCAGAUAAUAGUAUUUAAAAUUGUAAAGUUUAUUGAAAUUAGUUUCAUCUACCUCGGUGUCUACUACUACAAAAAAUUAUGAAAAAUCACAAACAUAGUUUGAGACACAUUCGUAUUUGGAGUUUACUAGUAUUUGUUAGCCUAUAUGGCUAUAAAUAUUGAUUUUGAUGACAACAAACCACAUGUAUUUAUUAAGUAAAGAUUUAUGAAUUGUGCUUUUAUAAUAAGAAAAUGAUGUUAUGGAAUUAAAGCAUUUUGGACUAAAAUGAAAGUAAUUUUAAAAUCUUUGAUAAUAUUUUAAAUUUCGGAUUUGGACCUAUUUGAAACUAUUUAAAUCUUUUUGGGUCAUUCUAUAAUAUCACAAAAUUUGGGCGAAAUCAUAAUUUCAGAAAGUUUUGGGAUUAACGAAGCAUUACUUAGAAAUUCUGAAAUUGGACCUAUUUGCAAAGUUUCAUAAUGUUUUGGGUCAUACUACAGUUUUAUAAAGUUUUGGGGUCAAACUAAAAAUUUAGGAAAAUUUCACUGUAGUAGGUUACUGUAGCAAGCGGCUUACUGGAUAUAAAAACUGAAAAAUCGGAUACGGGGCAGUAAGCAUCCAGAACGCAAACGGCUUACCGGAUUUCGUAACUGGCAAGCCGGAUAGGCAAAAUUCAAAUUUUUGCCUUAACGGUAACAUAAAUUCAGCUUACCGGAUUCCAUAAACGGCAAACCGGAUACGCCCAGAAUGUGAGUAACGGCUAGUUUUUGAGCUCAAACUAUAAGAACUCAAAUCCAACUCAUUUUGAGUCUCUAAAACAAGCCAAAACAAAAAGUACACGUGAUAUCUUGAGCCUUCAAACUUGCGAAAUACAAACAUUGAAUCUUUUCUUGUUCUUCAUUUUUUAAUAUUUACUCAUUGAGUGAGUUUCAUUGUAACCUUCAUUUAUUCAUCUCAAUUGUAAGAGUUUAAGUGUGUGAGACACUUGAGUGAAGAGAUUAAGAGAUAAUCUCUUUGUUGUAAAGGCUUAUUGACACCUCGAAGUCAAUUGUAAUUGUUGAAGCCUUGGAAAGGCUUGGAUAGUGAAAUCCUCAAGCUUGGAUCGCUUGGAGGCGUGGACGUAGGCAGGGAUUGCCGAACCACGUAAAAAUUCGUGUGUUUGUUUCUCUUCUCCCUUACUCUUUAAUUAUUGUGCUUUUCUUGAACUUAUUGCUUUCAAUUUUUAUUAAGACAUUAGAUUGCUUGUUGUGUGGAUUUGCUAGGAUAAUUUUUAAAUUUCCAAUUCACCCCCUCUUGGGUUGCACACUUAUAUUUCAUUUGGUAUUAGAGCAAAGUGCUCUUAUUUAAGACUUAACUGUCUAGAGCUAAAGAUCAAUGGCAACUCAAAAUGAUUCCACAUUUAGGGAAGGACAGUCCACCACUAGACCACCUUACUUUGAUGGAAACGAUUACCCAUAUUGGAAAACUAGGAUGAGAAUUUACUUGCAAGCCUUAGAUUAUGAAAUUUGGGAAAUUGUUAAUGAUGGUCCUUUCAUGCCUUUGACUAAAAAUGAAACCGGAGAAGAUAUUCCAAAACCUUCACGGGAUUGGAAUGAAUUCGAAAAAAGAAAAGCUUAUCUAAAUUCCAAGGCCAUGAAUGUCUUGUUUUGUGCUUUAGAUAAAAAAGAGUUUCAUAGAGUGUCUCGCUGCGAAAGUGCUAAUGAGAUUUGGCACAAACUUGAAGUUGUCUAUGAAGGCACAAACCAAGUGAAAGAAUCUAAAAUAAGUAGGUACACUCGACAAUAUGAAUUGUUCCAAAUGGAACAAAAUAAAAAUGUGUACUCUAUGUAUACUAGAUUUACAGACAUAGUGAACACUCUAGGAGCCCUAGAGUAGACUUUUUCAAACAGCGAAAAAGUUAAGAAAAUCAUUAGGUCACUACCUAAAGAAUGGAGACCAAAAAGGACUUCCAUUGAGGAAGCUAAGGAUUUAAAUGUAUUAUCUAUUGAUGAUUUAAUUGGUUCUCUCAUUUCAUAUGAAGAAGAUUUGGCAGCUGAAAAAGGGCAUGAGGAAAAGAAGAAAAACAUUGCUCUCAAGGUUUUAAAACGUGAGAGUGAUGAGGAAAGCGAAAUGGAUGAUGAGGAGUUGGCUAUGUUGGCUAGAAGAUUCAGAAAAUUUUACAAGAAGAAUAAUGAGCAGAGAAAGUUCAGAGGCUACAAGAAUAAGAAGGACAAGAAUGAGCCAAUCACUUGCUAUGAAUGCAAGAAGCCCAGACACAUACGACCGGAAUGUCCUCUUCUCAACAAACUCAAGAAGAAAGCUAUGGUGGCCACAUGGGAUGAUAGCGAUGAGGAAACAAAUGAUGAGGAUGACCAACAAGAAAUGACAAUCUUAGCUCUCAUGGUCGUUGAGGAAGAAUCAUGUGAUGAACUUGAUGAGGUAAGUGUUCUUCCUACAUAUGAUGAAUUACAUGAUGCUUUUAAGGAUUUGCAUGAUGAGCUAAUGAAGAUUGGUAAAAAGAAUAUAUGUCUUAAAAAGAAGAUGAUAGAGCUUAAGAAUGAAAAUAAUUCAUUUAGUGCAAAGAUUAUAUGCCUAGAAUUAGAAAAUAAAACAUUGCAUGAGAGUAUUGCAUUAUUUGAGAAUUCUAGCACUUCACAUGAGCACUUAGAGUCACACAUGAAUGACUUGAAAAAUGAGAAUGAAAUGCUUAAAAAGAAGAGCAAUGAACUAAAUGAAAUUGUGCUAAAAUUCACAAAUGGGCAAAAGAUGUUGGACAAUUUGCUAAACUUACAAAAAUAUGUAUUUGACAAAAGUGGCAUAGGUUAUAAACCGAAUUUGAAACAAAAAUUUUACAAGAGUUAUUUUGUGAAGAAUACAUCUAUUAACAAUCAAAUUGUAUGUCAUUAUUGCAAUCAAGAUGGUCAUAUGAAAAAUAGAUGUGUGGUGAAGAGAAAUGCAUAUUAUGGUGUGAAAUGUGUUUGGGUUCCGAAAGGAACCAUUGCUAACUCUCAAGGACCCAAAAAGGUUUGGGUACCUAAAACUUGACAUUUUCUCUACAGGGCUUGAAGAAGAAGAAUAAUAAGUGGUACUUGGACAGCGGUUGUUCAAGACACAUGACAGGGAAUUAUUCUUGGUUUUCAAGUUUCACUAAGAUCAAAAAUGGUGGAGAUGUAUCGUUUAGAGAUAAUUCAAAAGGAAAAAUCAUUGGGACUGGAAAUGUCGGUAAUGUAUCCUCUACUCUCAUUGAAAAUGUGUGUUUGGUUGAAAACUUAAAACACAAUUUGCUUAGUAUUAGUCAAUUAUGCGAUAAAGGAUAUAGAGUUAUCUUUGAUGAAUCAAAAUGUGUUAUUGAGAAUGCAUGUGAUGGGAAAGUCUUGUUUAUAGGAAAUAGAUGUGUUAAUGUCUAUACCAUUAAUAUAGAUUGUGCAUCAAUACAUGAUAAAUGUCUCUCUACAUUGCAUGAUGAUGGCUGGUUGUGGCAUAGAAGAUUAGGUCAUGCAAGCAUGGAUUUGAUUUCAAAAAUCGUGAAAAAUGAUUUAGUUAAAGGUCUUCCAAAAAUCAGUUUUCAAAAAGAUAGAAUUUGUGAAGCAUGCCAAUUUGGAAAACAAAUCAAAACUUCCUUCAAAAACAAGAAUCAUGUCUCUACUUCAAAACCACUUCAAUUGCUUCAUAUAGAUUUAUUUGGACCUUUUAGAUAUGCUAGUUUAAUUGGACUUUAGAUAUGCUAGUUUAAUUGUGGAUGAUUAUUCUAGAUACACAUGGAUAUUGUUCUUAGCUAAUAAGGAUGAUGUCAUUGAUGUAUUUCGAAUUUUCUAUAAAAAGGUUCAAAAUGAAAAAGGUUAUUCUAUUACUUGUAUUGGAAGUGAUCAUGGUGGAGAAUUUGAAAAUCAUGCAUUUGAAAAUUUUUGUAAUGACCUUAGCAUUGAACAUCAAUUUUCAUCACCUAGGAGUCCAUAAUAAAAUGGAGUAGUAGAGAGAAAGAAUAGGUCUAUUCAAGAAAUGCCUAGGACCAUGUUGAAUGAAAACUCAUUGCCUAAGUAUUUUUGGGCCGAAGCCGUCAACACCGCUUGUUAUGUUUUAAAUCGGGUGUUGAUUAGACCUAAUCUUAAUAAAACUCCAUAUGACCUUUGAAAAGAUAGAAAACCCAACAUUGGCUAUUUUAAAGUUUUUGGAUGCAAAUGUUUUGUUUUGAACACAAAAGAUAAUCUUGGUAAAUUUGAUCCAAAAUCUGAUGUUGGCAUUUUUCUUGGUUAUUCAAAUUCAAGCAAAGCUUAUAGAGUUUAUAAUAAAAGAACUUUAGUUGUGGAAGAAUCUAUGCAUGUUACAUUUGAUGAGUCUAACCCCUCCUCUACGGAGAAAGUUGUUGUUGAUGAUAAUGCAAAAGAAGAACAACAAGAAGAAGCAUCGAAUGACAACCAAGAAGACGCGCCACAUGGAAUUCAAGAAGAACAUCAUGAAGAAACAAAUGCAGAGCAAAAUGAAGGUACUUCACAAACAGUCCCCAAGGAGUGGAGGUAUGUAUCCUCUCACCCUAAGGAUAUAAUUUUAGGAGAUCCCUCACGAGUAGAGCUGGCAAAACGGGUCAUCGGAUCGUGUUCGUGUCGUGUCAGCUUCGUGUCGUGUCAAAUUUAAGUCGACCCAAAUCCGACCCAUUUAAUAAUCGUGUCAAAAUAUUGAGACCCAAACCCGACACGAAAAAAUAAUCGGGUUACCCAAUAACCCGUUUAAUAUCUAUAUAUUGAACAAAAGUUACAUUAAAUAUUUACACACUAUCAUACAUACGUAUGUACAUACAUACAUAAUUUAUCGAUAUUAUAAAAUAUACAUAUCUACUAAUAUAUUACACAUUUACACUAUUGAGGUUAUAUAUAUAUAUAUAUAUAUAUAAUAUUAUAUGUCAAUAUUAUAAAAUAUACAUGUCUAUUAAUUUUUACACAUUUACACUAUUGAAGCUCUAAAUGUAUUUAAAAUUUUAUAAAUAAAACACUGUGUUUAUAUUCACCCUUUUAAAGAAUUAAAAAAAACCAUCUCUAAUAUUUGAGUUUUAAUAAUAAGAAUAUGUAAAUUAUUUUAAAAUAGAAAAUAUAAUCGGGUCAUUGAUCGGGUAAAUGGGUCAAGAAUUUUAACCCUAACCCGGCACGGAAAAAAAUCGUGUUGACCUGGACCCGACCCAUUUAAUAAUCGUGUUAAAUUUGACAACCCAUACCCAUUUAUUUAUGUCGUGUUCGUGUCGGGUAAUCGGAUCGUGUCAAAUUUUGCCAGCUCUACUCACGAGGUGUUACCACUAGAUCAUCCCUUAGGAACACAUGUGAGCAUGCUGUAUUUAUUUCUCAAAUUGAACCAAAAUCCUUUGCGGAUGCGGAAAACGAUGAAUCUUGGAUUAUGGCAAUGCAAGAGAAGUUGAAUCAAUUUGAGAGAAACAAUGUGUGGUAGUUAGUUCCUAAUCCAGAACAUCAAUCCAUUAUAGGUACUAAAUGGGUAUUUAGAAACAAAAUGGAUGAAUCCGGUGUGGUUGUAAGAAAUAAAGCUAGAUUAGUGGCUCAAGGUUACAACCAAGAAAAAUGAAUUGAUUUUGAUGAAACUUUUGCACAUGUAGCAAUGUUAGAAUCCAUUAGGAUGUUGUUAGCAUAUGCAUGUCCUAAGGAUUUUAUUUUAUAUCAAAUGGAUGUCAAGAGUGCUUUUUUAAAUGGAUAUAUUAUAGAGGAAGUUUAUGUGAAACAACCUCCUGGUUUUGAAAAUGAAAAAUUUCCAGAUCAUGUGUAUAAGUUAUCCAAGGCUUUGUAUGGUUUAAAACAAGCACUUAGAGCUUGGUAUGAUAAGCUUAAAAAUUUCUUGUUGGAUAACGAUUUUUCAAUGGGAAAAGUUGACACAACUCUUUUUGUUAAGCAUAAGAACCAAGACAUACUUAUUGUUCAAAUUUAUGUUGAUGAUAUUAUUUUUGGUUCUACUAAUGAGUUAUUGUGUAAAGAUUUUUCAUCAUGUAUGAGCCAAGAGUUUGAGAUGAGUAUGAUGGGAGAGUUGAAGUACUUCCUUGGACUUCAAAUCAAACAAAAUAAGGAAGGAAUUUUCACAAACCAAGCCAAGUACAUGAAAGAUCUACUCAAAAGAUUUGGCUAUGAUAAUGGAACGGCAAAAAGCACUCCUAUGAGUACUACCAUUAAGCUGGACAAAGAUAAGAAAGGUAAGGAAGUUGAUAUCAAGACAUAUCGAGGUAUGAUCGGAUCCUUACUCUACUUGACUGCUAGUAGGCCUGAUAUUAUGUUUAGUGUUUGCUUGUGUGCUAGAUUUCAAUCUUGUCCUAAAGAGUCUCACAUGCUUGCUGUCAAAUGCAUUUUUCGAUAUUUAAUUGGCAUUAUUAAUCUUGGCCUUUGGUAUCUUAGAGGAACUUAUAUUGAUUUAACUUGUUAUUCGGAUGCCGAUUUUGCUGGGUAUAAGGUUGAUAGAAAAAGUACUAGUGGAACAUGUCACUUCUUAGGCCAUUCUCUUGUCUUUUGGUUUAGUAAGAAACAAAACUCGGUUGCGCUUUCAACCACCGAGGCAGAAUAUAUUGCCGCAGGUAGUUGUUGUGCACAAAUUCUAUGGAUGAAACAAACCCUUAGAGACUAUGGUAUUAAGCUUGAUCAAAUUCCUAUCUUAUGUGACAAUACUAGUGCUAUAAAUCUUUCUAAGAAUCCUAUUCAAUAUUCUAGGACUAAGCAUAUAGAAAUUAGACAUCAUUUCCUUAGAGAUCAUGUUCAAAAAUGAGAUGUCGUAAUUAAAUUUGUUUCCACUGAAAAUCAACUUGCGGAUAUCUUUACAAAACCUCUUAGCGAAGAGCAUUUUAUAAAGAUAAGACAUGAGCUUGGAAUGAUGAAUGUUGAAUCUUAAUUCAUGUUUUACUACAUGACUUGAUAUGGUUGUUAUCAUAUGGUUUUAUGCUUCAUGAAUUAGAUAGCAUGAUAUGCUUGUAAAUUUAUGAUUUUAUGAUUUUGUGUUUCAUGCAUUAAAUGGCUUAUUGAAAAAUUUUAAAUCUCAAAAUGAUUUAAAAUUAAUCAAUUUUUUAGGCCGGAAAUAAAUUGGUGUGUGUAGUACAAGUAUAAGAGCUAGCAAAUAUUCCCUUUCCAUUCAUCCGGAAAAACAUUUUUCCUUAUUGAUUUCUCUCGGGACAAAUUCCAGAUAACCGGAUUUUCAAUCCGCAAAACUGGAUUGGCUUUGAUUGCUCUUGGGACAACAUUCGGAUAACCGGAUUUGCUAAGCUUCAUCUCUGCCUCAUAACCGGUCUACCGGUUCUUCAAUCCGGAAAACCGAAUUUGGAAGGGAACUCACUGCCUCACAACCGGUCUACCAGUUAUCAAAACCGGAAAGCCGAAUUCGAGUGCAUGCUUGCUGGAACAAAACUAGAUUUCCAGUUCAAGACAAUCCAGAAAGUCAGAUUUUUGGAAGCUCUCGAAACCGGCCAGUCGGUUAAGAAAACCGGCAUCCGGAUUUCAAAUCUGGCAGACCGUUUUCGCUUGUUUGGUUUCUGUCCAAUAACCGGCUUACCGAUUAGGAAACCCGGCAAGCCGGAUUCGUGAGCCUUUUGUGCUGUUCAUCCUCUUCCUCAUGCAUUCGGCAAUCCGGUUCUUCCUCUCUCUAAAAACCGUUUGCUUCUCUCUCAUUUUUCACUCCAAAAUCCACCAUUUCUACUCGGUUUUGAUGCAAAUCAAUCCAUAAAUAUUGACCCCCAUCCGUUCUUAUAACUAAAAUCACACUCAAAACUCAUUUUCAACCUCCAAAUCCCUAGAUCCGAAUUUCAACCUAGGUUUUGGGCCGAUUUUUUCUCUCUCUAGAUUUCUCACUCUCAAGCAGUUUUUUAUCCAAUUUGUUUCUCCAAAUCACUUUCAAUCUUCAUCAUCUUCAUUCUCUUUGGUGUUUUUAUCUUCAAAUCCAUCAAAAUCAAAAUGUCAAGCUCUCGGCCGGUUCGAAGAAAAGGCAAAGAACCGGUUCAACAAACCACCCGGCCAGGGGAAGCAAGGGGCACCUCAAAUCAAUCCACUUUUGAGUCCAUUCAUUUUCAGAACAAGCAACACUUGAUCAAAUGGUUUCAACAAAACUUUCGGACUCGUGAGGUACUCAACACUUUCUUUGUUUUACCGGAUGUUAUGCAUACUCUCAAGAUUAGUUAUAGAAAUAUUUUUCAAUUGUUGGAAGAUGUUGGUUGGCUUAAUGCACUUGUUAUUGAGGAAAAUGUAUAUCCUGACUUGGUGAAAGUAUUUUACUCGAAUAUGGAUUGUUCCACGGAGAAAGAGAAUCGAGUAAUCACCACAGUUGGAGGAGUUUUGAUUGAAUUUGAUGAUUUGGAGUUGAACUCCAUCCUAGGAUCUUCCAAUGAUGGACUGGACAUUUUUUCUCCUAGGAAACCUCCUGAUAUUGAUGACUAUGUUCAUGUUGAUGCCGUUCGUAAUAUUUAUCGGCGUAGUGAUCUUUCUAUUGAAGAUUGUACCAUUCAUUUCCGUACUCAGUGUCUUUGUCUUCAAACUCGUUUUUUGCUUCGUAUCAUCCAGUCCAUUGUACUUCCUAGAUCAAGACAUUUGGAUGAGGUUUCUCACAUGGAUGUCGCCAUGAUUGACUGUAUUCUUAGAGGUCGCCCGGUUAACUUGGGCUAUUCCAUCAUCCGCACCAUGUUGAGCAUUCAUGCCUUGAUUAUCCACUCUCUUCCUUAUGGUCACUUCAUUACCCGAAUUCUUAAAUUCUUUGAAGUGCCGAUUCUGGAACCAUCUUGUAGGCCGUCCAAGGGUAUUGGGGAUGAGGUUAUUAUUGGGUUAGGCUUUGAGUGGAAGGAUGGCACUUGGGUCAAAUACAACAAUAACAAGUUUACCUUUCUAGCCCCAAGUGAUGAUCGGCCACUUAAUGCUGUGAUUCCAGCUGAUUAGCUUCCAGUUUUCUCUCUCAUUUCGAGGGCAGCAUAGACGCCGAGUUUCUUCCACGGUUGCUUCAGCUCCUAGUGCAUCUGCAUCCGCUUCAUCACCUCCACAUCCUCCUACCUCUGAAGAGGUCACUCUUCAGCAGCUUAUGGAUGAAGUGCGGACACUCUCUGUGCGGCAGACUGAGUUUCAGCAGCAGCAGCAGCAGCUUAUUUAUGGACAGCGACUCCUCUUUGAGCACUUCGGCAUUCCAUAUCCAUUUCCACCUCCAUCCUCACCACCUGAGUAGUAUCUUAUGCUUGUAUUUGGACACACCUACAUUUCAUUUAUUGCAUUGUGUGUUCUUUUAUUUUCAACUCUAUGGAUGGUUAUUAUGAUUUUCGGUUUAUGGUUUUGUUUUUGGAUGAUAUGGAUUUGUUGUGACUAUUUAUGUUGGAUGUUUUGGAUUUGUUUUGAUUGAUCAUUAUGGAUUAUAUGGAUUUUCUUAUGCUUAUGGAUAUUUUUUUACUAAUGUGCUUAUGUUGCGAUUUUAAUGAUUGAUAGGGGGAGCUUUUAUUCUUUUUUAUGAUGAAGGGGGAGAAUGAUUUAAUAUGUGUUAUGAAAAUAUGCAUGUAUCUAUGGGGAGCAUGUAUGCAGGGGGAGUUUUUGUUAAACAAUUUUCAAAUCAUUUUUUAACUUGCAUUGAUUAAGGGGGAGCUUUUUCAUAACAAGAUUAAAGUUUUUAAUGUGUUUUGUCAUCAUCAAAAAGGGGGAGAUUGUUAGCCUAUAUGGCUAUAAAUAUUGAUUUUGAUAAUAACAAACCACAUGUAUUUAUUAAGUAAAGAUUUAUGAAUUGUGCUUUUAUAAUAAGAAAAUGAUGUUAUGGAAUUAAAGCAUUUUGGACUAAAAUGAAAGUAAUUUUAAAAUCUUUGAUAGUAUUUUAAAUUUCAGAUUUGGACCUAUUUGAAACUAUUUAAAUCUUUUUAGGUCAUUCUAUAAUUUCACAAAAUUUGGGCGAAAUCAUAAUUUCAAAAAGUUUUGGGAUUAACGAAGCAUUACUUAGGAAUUUUGAAAUUGGACCUAUUUGUAAAGUUUCAUAACGUUUUGGGUCAUACUACAGUUUUAUAAAUUUUUGGGGUCAAACUAAAAAUUUAGGAAAAAUUUCACUGUAGCAGGUUACUGUAGCAAGUGGCUUACCAGAUAUAAAAAUUGAAAAAUCGGAUACGAGGCAGUAAGCAUCCAGAACGCAAACGGCUUACCGGAUUUCGUAACUGGCAAGCCAGAUAGGCAAAAUUCAAAUUUUUGCCUUAACGGUAACAUAAAUUCGGCUUACCGGAUUCCAUAAACUGCAAAUCGGAUACGCCCAGAAUGUGAGUAACGACUAGUUUUUGAGCCCAAACUAUAAGAACUCAAAUCCAACUCAUUUUGAGUCUCUAAAACAAGCAAAAACAAAAAGUACACGUGAUAUCUUGAGCCUUCAAACUUGCGAAAUACAAACAUUGAAUCUUUUCUUGUUCUUCAUUUUUUAAUAUCUACUCAUUAAGUGAGUUUCAUUGUAACCUUCAUUUAUUCAUCUCAAUUGUAAGAGUUUGAGUGUGUGAAACACUUGAGUGAAGAGAUUAGGAGAUAAUCUCUUUGUUGUAAAGGUUUAUUGACACCUCGAAGUCAAUUGUAAUUGUUGAAGCCUUGGAAAGGCUUGGAUAGUGAAAUCCUCAAGCUUGGAUCGCUUGGAGGCGUGGACGUAGGCGGGGAUUGCCGAACCACGUAAAAAUUCGUGUGUUUGUUUCUCUUCUCCCUUACUCUUUAAUUAUUGUGCUUUUCUUGAACUUAUUGCUUUCAAUUUUUAUUAAGACAUUGGAUUGCUUGUUGUGUGGAUUUGCUAGGAUAAUUUUUAAAUUUUCAAUUCACCCCCCCUCUUGGGUUGCACACUUAUAUUUCAGUAUUUAUACUAGAAUAAGAGGUAGAGAAGAUGGAUUCGUGUUCAGAAGCUUGCAUGUUUUAGGAAUCUUAAAGGAAUAAGGGAAAGUCUGAAUUAUAGUUCUCAAGAUAGAAAUGUAUUUAUAAACAUAUUCUUUACUUUCUUUGAGGAAGACUAUAUAAAUGACUUAUAACCUAAGAAUAAGGUAAAACUAGAAAAAUAAAAAGGAGAUCAGAUUGAUGCUCAGCUUUCAACACCUGUUAUAGAACAUGAAGAAUAACAACAACCAGCUGAUCAACACAGGAUUAUCCCUUAAUAACCAUCACUUUUAGAACCUCGUCGUUGUGGGAGGGUAACUAGGUUACCAACAAGAUACAUGUUAUUAGGAGAAACCUAUACGGCUAUCUUAGAUGAACAUGUACAAGAUCCUACUAGCUACAAUGAAGCUCUAAUAGACAAAGAUGUUGAAUUUUGGAAAAAGGUCAUGAAUCAAGAAAUAGAAUCUAUGUAUUCUAAUAAAGUCUGGGAACUUGUAGAGGCACCAAAUGGAUAAAACCUAUAAGGUGCAAGUGCAUCUACAAGAGAAAAAGAGAAUUAGAUGAAAGGGUGGAAACAUUUAAAGUAAGAUUAAUAGCCAAAUGGUUUACUAAAAAAGAGGGAAUCGAUUAUGAGGAAACCUUUUGUCCGGUUGCUAUGUCUUAAAUCCAUCAGGAUUCUGUUCUCCAUUGCUGCAGUGCUAGAUUAUGAAAUUUGGCAAAUGGAUGUCAAGACUGCCUUUCUUAACGGGCAUCUUGAAGAACACAUCUACAUGUAGCAACUAGAUGGAUUCAUACAAAAAUGUCAAGAACACAUGGUAUGUAAGUUGCAGAGAUCCAUUUAUGGAUUGAAGCAAGCAUCCCAGUCAUGGAACAUCAGAUUUGAUCAAGCGAUUAAAUCAUUUGGAUUCAUUCAGAACAUUAAUGAACCAUGUGUGUACAAGAAAAUUUAGAGAAAAAUUGUAGCCUUCCUAGUUCUUUAUGUAGAUGAUAUUUUCCUGAUUGGAAACGAUAUGGGAGUCUUGACUACAAUAAAGAGUUGGUUAGCAAAAUAAUUUGAUAUGCAAGACCUGGAAAAGACAAGUUAUAUUCUUGGUAUCAAAUUACUACGAGACCAGAAGAAUAAAACUUUAGCCUUGUUUCAAGUGGUCUAUAUCGACAAGAUAUUGGCUAUAUUUACAAGACUAGUUUAUUACCAUUCAGACAUGGAAUUGUAUUCUCUGAUGAUCAAUCACCUAAGGCAUUUGAAGAGAUAGAGAAAAUGAGACGAGUUCCCUAUGCAGAAGCUGUGGGAAGUCUCAUGUAUGCCAUGCUUUGCACUAGUCCAGACAUCUGUUUUGAGGUAAGGAUGGUUAGCAGAUAUCAAUCUAAUCCUGGACCUGAACACUAGACUGCAGUCAAGUAUAUUAGAAAGUAUCUAAAAAGAACUAAAAAUUAUAUGCUUAUGUAUUCUGGUGAUGAACUUAUUCCAGUAGGUUAUACUAAUUCUGACUUUAUGUUAGAUUAAGAUUCCAGAAAAUCAACUUCCAACAAUGUGUUUAUGUUAAGAAGUGGAGCUAUUAGUUGGAGGAGUGUAAAAAUCUUAUAUCGCAGACUCCACAACUGAAGCUGAAUAUGUGGCUACAUCUGAAGCUGCAAAAGAAGCUAUAUGGCUCCGCAAGUUCCUACAAAAUCUUGAGGUGGUACUUGUUGUAACUGCACCCUUUAAACUAUUUUGUCAUUAUGGUAGUGCGGUAGCUCAAUCUAAGAAACCAAUGAACAACAAGAAGCAAAACAUAUUGAGAGGAAGUAUUAUCUUAUAAGGGAAUAGUGUAAAAAUGUUAUAGGACAGUACCCCAAAUGACAUUAGAUAUUAUAUGGCACAUUUUAUUACAAUGGCCAUUAAUGGGAAACCUUUAUAACCUGCACUUAGAGCCCUAUAGCAUGUGCAAUAUGACAAAUAUGCUUUAAGAGCUAGUGGGGGAUUGUUGAGAUUAUAUGCUCUUUUAAAGUAUAUUAAUUUAUUUUCUGAUUAAUACAACAUUUGAGAUAUUUUCAAUUGCAUAAAUAUAUAUUGAAUAAGGUCCGUUUAAUCAUAUUAUAUGUAUUUAUGUGAUCAUCAUAUGGAUUCAUAGAAGACAUAAAUACAAGUUAUCUUAUGAUUAAAUAAAUAUUAGUUCGCAAUUGAUAAAUAGAGUUGGGCACUCUAUUUAUGUUUAGACUAUAGUAAAUUCAUUGAAUGAUUUGUCUUAAUCAUAUAUGAAUUUACUGAUGUAGUUUGACUACAUUGAGCUGGAUCACAUAUGAGAUUUAAUUAACCUUGAAAUGACUGUCAGACUUAUUAAAUCUCAUAGGCAUUGAUUUUACUGUAAUCUUAAUCUUGAGUUAGUUAUGAUUUCAUGAUUGUAAUUGUUAUUCCAUUUGAUUUAUCAAUGGGCACGACACACACUUGUGGUCAAGAUUACCCAGUAUCUUGGUGGGAGCAAUUAUGAGUAUUGGAGUUAUAGAUUAACAAUAUAGAAUUUAUACAACACGUCUUUUUAUGGGUUUUUGGCACUUGAUCGUAGAAUUCUUUGGCCAGAGUGUGUCAACAUAUUUAAUAUGUUGAAAAUGAUCAUUAGAGAAAACCAAUAAGUAUCCAGAAAUAAGAUGUAAUUAAAUCGAUUGGACAAUUGAGAUAUCAAUUUAAUUAAUGAUGUGGUACAAAUAAUUAUGUAGUAAAGAAAUCAAUGUGGCAUGAGUCGAAUUAUUAUUCGAGUAUACUAUCCUAGAUAGCAUACAAUUAUGGAGGUCAAUUCCAAUCUUUUAGUGGAGUAAAUUUAGAAUUAAAUAAUUGGACUAGUUUAAUUACAGGCCUAAUUAUUGUAGCCACUAUGUAUGUUCCCAAAUGAUUCUUAGGUUACCUCAUUUAAUUAACUGCACCACUACUGGAUUAAUAAGCAAGAUAACUAGCUAUUUAGGUUAAAAGCCUAAAUAUAUUAUUUAGUAGGAGACUCCAUUAAUAUACUUGAGUGUAAGGGGCCUUGUGUUAUUUUACAAGGUGGACCCCUAUAACACAAGAAUAAGUAACGUGACUUUUGUUUUAAUUAUUUUUUAAUUUAAAUCAAAUUAGAUUUAAUAGAAUU